GCCCAGAAAACACUACUCCCCCUCCAGAACCAUUCCCACCAUUGCCGCCCAUGRACUCGGGUCCCGAAAUGUAUGGACGCUGAUCAACACAUCAAACAAGUUAAUGGUUAAAACAAAGUUGACAAUAUAACAACAUUAAAAGUCACCUUGAUAUUUUG